rnacentral:lncRNA from 1 species
UCUUUCUUUAUUUUCAAGUUCCUUCUCCUUCAAGUUCUUUAUAACUUGAAGCUCUUUCAAUUUUCAAGUUCCUUCUCUACCAUACAACACGAGCAAAACAUUUUGAUUAAAACAAGUUCAUGUUCUAUCCUCUCACCAAACAAAACGAGCAAACACAUUUUGAUCAAAACAAGUUCAUUUUCUCACCUUCUCUUGAUCACAAAUUUUAUUCACAAAACAAUCAAAAACAAUUUUUAUAUGGCAUCUUCUUCUAAUGAAUAUUUUUUUUUAAGAACCUUUAAUUAAGAAACUUCCUAUAAACCUCAAAAUCUAUGGGUUUCUUAACUAAAUUUCUUAGUUAACUUUUAUUAUUAAACAAAUCAUUAAGAAACCCAAAUGAGGUUAUAGGGUUAAUGAUGCUC